GAAUUCAGAAUUUGGAAUUUUGCGAUUUAUAGAUACAGAAGCGAAACAGAGGCAUAUGUUUUUGUUUCCCCUUUUUAUAGACUCUUGCUUCUUAUACACAC